UCCCAUGUAGCUUAGUUGGUAGAGCAUGACGCUGGCAACACUAAGGUUGUGGGUUCGAUUCUCACGGGGGAC
rnacentral:tRNA from 1 species